ensembl:lncRNA
GUUUGGUUUUCGUAUUUUUAUGUUUUUCCUUAACACCAUGUGUCAGUUAUGAAUGACCACAUAUAGAAGAUAUACAUACAUUUGGAUCACAGCGCUGAAUAUACAUCAAUAACGGACUAUACAAAGUGGUACGACUAUACAGCUGUUCAAAUAAUUUGGGAUGUCAGGGCAAGGUAUAUCCAUUUUGCCUGCCCGUCUCUUUACCUGCUCGCGUGUGUGUAUGUGUUCAUUAAAUAUGACAACAGUUAAGUUGUACAGUAUGUGUUGACGCCUUGUUGUUGCACUUCAACGUUAAUCCGGCUUUGGUCCUAAAAGCUGAUGUGGCAUCUCACGUCUAGGCUCACUGACCCCGGGUCAGUGCUACAGCGAGGUCAAGAGGGAAUUUCUGAGUGAUUCUGAUUCCAGAGCUAUUUAGCGCCUUUUGAGGAUCAGUUUGUUUAUUGUGAAAUUGAGUUCUCCACUGGUAAUGACGCAGUCAUAACGAGAGCUGGCGGGCGGUAGUUAAGAUGCCAAAGACUUCAAUAGUCUGCGGACUCGUUUUAAUAAAGUGGUUGCUAGCAGCAACAACCCCUGGACCCGGAGUCAUAAACGGCGUCAAUUAUUAAUGCACUUGCACACAGGCUGGGAAGCGACAGGCACCGACAAGGACUAGAAGUACACUGAUCUCACAUAAUGGAGGAGAGAGAGCCCUCUCCGUCCUCGCAGAAAGAGGUCCUUAUCAUUCCUCUCCAUCCAAACGUCACUCCACCCAGCCCUGCCCACCAGACAUCAUGCCCUUCCUCUUCUCAGACCACAUCUACUUCCACUGUGUCUUCUCCAAAAGGACCAGCAGGUUCACAGCUGUUUGCUGAGUUGUUGGAAAGCCACGCCCGUCGCAUCCCUAGGACCGCCUCCCCAGAACGCGUAACCACACCUCCACAACAAACCACACCCCAACAUGUAACCACACCCUCUAAUGUGGCCACACCCUCCCCUGUGGCCACGCCUUCUCGUGUAGCCGCACCCCAAAGCCCUUCUCUCUCUCCAACCCCGACCACAUCCCCUAAAGAGCAAGGUGCGCGUAGCCUCAGCAGCCCCGAGCUUCUCAAAGAGCUGAAGCAGCCACACCCACUCAAGCAUGUCUCCGCCCACAAGGGCCUGACCACUGUCUUCUCUGGGCGGGGCAAGACUCCAUCACCAAGCACUACCACCAGUCAUGGAGGAGAGAAGCCUCAGGGCUUGUCCAAUGGAAUGAAGCAUUAAAGAUGUGCUGUUAAGCCAUUGGAUGUAGAAGGUGCCAUUCAUCUGUGUCAGACAGACACUGCAUGCUCAACUCCUCUGCCAUAGUCAUGCUUCCAUACUCACACAUCACAUCCUAUGCUAUGUCCGCCACACUCCUUAGUAGUAUAUACAGUAUGUAUCAUGUAAAAGCACACUGUUCUGGAAUGUAGAUGACUGUGAUGUUUAUAUGUUUACUGGAUAGAUGGUUUAGCUUUUGAAAGUGACAUCAGACAUAAGGGCAUAUGAAUGUGAGAUGUAUUUGUAUAAGGUGUGUGUGUGUAUUUGUAUAAGGUGUGUGUGUGUGUGUGUGUGUGUGUGUGUGUGUGUGUGUGUGUGUGUGUGUGUGUGUGUGUGUGUGUGUGUGUGUGUGUGUGUGUGAAAAUCCUGUGUCGCUGCUCAGCCUUCCUCAAUAAGCUAAUGCAUCAGCACUUAUAAUAAAACAUGACUUACUUAUAUUACAACAUUGGACUGAUUGGUCUUCAGCUGUGUGUGUGUGUGUGUGUCUCCGGUCAUACUGUGUAAGUGUAAGUACAGUACAUCUGCUGUAUUGUACAGGUGUGUGUGUGUGUGUUUAUGUCUGUGUGUCUAUUCUCUACUAUUCUUUUUCUGUCUCUCAGUGACUAUUUUCAACUGUAAAUCUGUGUGUAUGAGAGUGUGAGCAUGUUCUAUAUCAUACAGGAAUGUGUGUGUGUGCAGGGAUGGAUUACCGAACAGGCCUACCAUGAGCUCAGGGGGCCCCUAAGCCAGAGCCUCUGCGUGAAGUCGCUGUUAUGUAUCUCUUAUUUGUGGUUGAAAGAGGUGUAUUUUGCUAAUUUGCUGUCGGCUUUAAUUGAUGGUACCUGCGCUGUGUUAGAAAAUAUGCAUGUGCGCCAGGGGCAUAACUAUAGACAAUGCAGCCAGCGCGGAGGGUUCAUAGGCAAAGGAGGCCAUGCCUUAUUGCUUUUCUUCUAUAUGGCUGUCAGAGUGUUGCUAGUAAAUGCGACUGUGAUCAACAAUGAAUUUGUUUUGAAUUCUUUACGACACCUUAUGCUAUAUAUUAUGCCCUCGAAAUGGCAAACCUGUCUCUGUCAUGGUUUUCAUCAUUUUUGGGGGAAGUAGCUAUCUAUAACAUAAUGAUAUGCUUAUCCUAAAUAAACGAU